GUGGCACCGGGCAGCAGGGCAGCGGCGACAGGCGGGCCAGGGCCAGGCCCCUCAGAGGAGGGCAGCCUUAUGGACGUGCCGGACCACCUCGGCUCAUCCUCCAGGAGCCACCCCAGUCAGGCCCGAGGGUGUGCCCUUCUAACAGACCCCCGGGUGAGUCUGGCGCUGCAGGCCGCGAGCGUGCUCAUAGGAGGACGGCCUGGAGCUGUGGCCGGGAAGCAGGUGGCCGGGAGACACACUCUGUCCCGAUGCCCAGCCUGGCCCUUGCCCCACUCGGGUGCGACCACACGGUAGCGCUCCCCAAGGACUGUGGUCAGCCGCGGGCGACGCCUCCUCGAGGGCCGCGUUAGGAAGCAAGGGUCUUCUCCCACCUGCUUCUCCCGCAUGCUCUUCACCCGCCGGUGACCCCGGCGAUGCUUGAAAGGUCAAGGAGCACCUGCCUCGGAUCAAUACGGGAACUGGAACCCACGCUCAUCGCGCUAGGCCUUGGAGAUCUGGGCGUUGCUUCGCUGCGACAGAUGUCCCUGUUUGCCUGAGGAGCACCUGGAGAAACGCAUCAUCAUGGGAAGCCAGCUUGCUGUUUACCUGAGGAACGGGCCUACUCACCCUGGCUCACCUCUGAGCUGAAGAUUAACAGAACUUUCCUUGAAAAAGAGGAUUUCAGAGAAGCUGAUACAUAAGCUAUGAUGGCUUACUGUGGAAAAUAUACCUUAUAUGUACCAAAGCAGCAGAUGAGGAUUCUUCUUCUUUUUUCUAAAAGUCACAUAAUCCAUAAAGGAAGAACAGCUUGGAAUGAAGCAAUUAGCCUAUCCCAAAUCUGCAGCUGUGGAUAGGUAUUUGUUGGUAUAAGACCACAGUCAUGGUUCUGACUAAUGCACCUGUUUGCUCUCAGGUCACCCCAGGUCUGGAUAGAGACAAGAAAAUGCUUACAGCCGUAUUUACACUUUAAAAUUCACAGAGAAAAAAAUAAAUAAA